GACGAACGCUGGCGGCGUGCUUAACACAUGCAAGUCGAGCGGUAAGGCCCUUUCGGGGGUACACGAGCGGCGAACGGGUGAGUAACACGUGGGUGACCUGCCCUCAGCUCUGGGAUAAGCCUGGGAAACUGUGUCUAAUACUGGAUAUGACUCCACGGUGCAUGUCGUGGGGUGGAAAGCCUUGUGCGGCUGAGGAUGGGCCCGCGGCCUAUCAGCUUGNGGUGGGGUGAUGGCCUACCAAGGCGACGACGGGUAGCCGGCCUGAGAGGGCGACCGGCCACACUGGGACUGAGACACGGCCCAGACUCCUACGGGAGGCAGCAGUGGGGAAUCUUGCGCAAUGGGCGAAAGCCUGACGCAGCGACGCCGCGUGAGGGAUGACGGCCUGGU
rnacentral:rRNA from 1 species